GAUGAACGCUGGCGGCGUGCUUAAUACAUUCAAGUCGAGCGAACAGACGAGGCGCUUUCUCCUCUUACGUUAUCUGCGGACGGGUGAGUAACACGUGGAUAACCUCCCUAUAAGACUGGGAUACCUUCGGUAAACCGGAGCUAAUACCGGAUAAUAUCUUGAACCUCAUGGUUCAAUCUUUAAAGACGGUUUUGCUUUCUCUUAUCGAUUGAUCCGCGCCGCAUUAUCUAGUUGUUAAGGUAACGGCUUACCAAGGCAACGAUGCGUAGCCGACCUUGGCGAGUGAUCGGCAGAACGGGAACUGAGACACGGUCAAGACUCCUACGGGAGGCAGCAGUAGGGAAUCUUCCGAAAUGGGCGAAAGCCUGACGGAGCAACGCCGCGUGAGUGAUGAAGGUCUUCGGAUCGUAAAACUCUGUUAUUAGGGAAGAACAAAUGUGUAAGUAAAUAUGCACGUCUUGACGGUACCGAAUCAGAAAGCCACGGCUAACUACGUG
rnacentral:rRNA from 1 species